rnacentral:misc_RNA from 1 species
CAUCGAACGGUUGGCAUACAACCCUCUUCAGCAAACAUCGGUCCCAUUGCGGGCUGGGUGUUUCGCUUGCGGUUCCUGUGUUGUGUUCCUAUAUAACGGUAUUCAUGUUGGCUCGCAAGACCCUUUCCAUCCGCGGCCUCUUUGGUGGGGUGGUCGGAGGAUUUCGAAGUAGUACUUGUGCUCCCGGUUUGUCGUGUGUUUAAAUGGCCAACGCGGCUCACAAGUAUCUAUUGGUCUCCUGGAUGCGGUGCAUGCGGUGAACACGGGUUCAUUGUCCCGUUGUGUCCCUUCAAAUUUUCGGUUGGCUUGAAUGACUCUUGCCACUGAGCGUGUUUUGCUUGCCUCUUGAGCGGCAAUACUUGCGCGGUGUGCAAUGUCAUGAAAGGAUGCUACCUGGUUGAUCCUGCCAGUAGUCAUAU